rnacentral:rRNA from 1 species
GUACUGUGCAAACGUUAUUCGGAAUCACUGGGCUUAAAGGGUGCGUAGGGCGGUGAUUUAAGUAGGGGUGUGAAAUCCCUCGGGCUCAACCGAGGAACUGCGCUCUAAACUGAAUCACUUGAGUAAGAUAGGGGUGUGCGGAACUUCCGGUGGAGCGGUGAAAUGUGUUGAUAUCGGAAGGAACGCCAGUAGCGAAAGCGGCACACUGGGUCUUAACUGACGCUGAGGCACGAAAGCCAGGGUAGCGAACGGGAUUAGAUACCCCGGUAGUCCUGGCUGUAAACGAUGAGUACUAGUUGGAAGGCGCUUACGCAUUUUCCAACGUAGCAAACGUAUUAAGUACUCCGCCUGGGGAGUAUGGUCGCAAAGGCUGA